CCGAAGCUGCGGCAGCGACACUGUGUGUUGUUGGGUAGGGGAGCGUUCUGUAAGCCUGUGAAGGUGUGUCGUGAGGCAUGCUGGAGGUAUCAGAAGUGCGAAUGCUGACAUAAGUAACGAUAAAGCGGGUGAAAAGCCCGCUCGCCGGAAGACCAAGGGUUCCUGUCCAACGUUAAUCGGGGCAGGGUGAGUCGACCCCUAAGGCGAGGCCGAAAGGCGUAGUCGAUGGGAAACGGGUUAAUAUUCCCGUACUUGGUGUUACUGCGAAGGGGGGACGGAGAAGGCUAUGUUGGCCGGGCGACGGUUGUCCCGGUUUAAGCGUGUAGGUGUGUGUUCCAGGUAAAUCCGGUUCACUUUAACACUGAGGCGUGACGACGAGGCACUACGGUGCUGAAGCAACAAAUGCCCUGCUUCCAGGAAAAGCCUCUAAGCAUCAGGUAACAUCAAAUCGUACCCCAAACCGACACAGGUGGUCAGGUAGAGAAUACCAAGGCGCUUGAGAGAACUCGGGUGAAGGAACUAGGCAAAAUGGUGCCGUAACUUCGGGAGAAGGCACGCUGACACGUAGGUGAAGUGAUUUACUCAUGGAGCUGAAGUCAGUCGAAGAUACCAGCUGGCUGCAACUGUUUAUUAAAAACACAGCACUGUGCAAACACGAAAGUGGACGUAUACGGUGUGACGCCUGCCCGGUGCCGGAAGGUUAAUUGAUGGGGUCAGCGCAAGCGAAGCUCCUGAUCGAAGCCCCGGUAAACGGCGGCCGUAACUAUAACGGUCCUAAGGUAGCGAAAUUCCUUGUCGGGUAAGUUCCGACCUGCACGAAUGGCGUAAUGAUGGCCAGGCUGUCUCCACCCGAGACUCAGUGAAAUUGAACUCGCUGUGAAGAUGCAGUGUACCCGCGGCAAGACGGAAAGACCCCGUGAACCUUUACUAUAGCUUGACACUGAACAUUGAGCCUUGAUGUGUAGGAUAGGUGGGAGGCUUUGAAGUGUGGACGCCAGUCUGCAUGGAGCCGACCUUGAAAUACCACCCUUUAAUGUUUGAUGUUCUAACGUGGACCCGUUACCCGGGUUGCGGACAGUGUCUGGUGGGUAGUUUGACUGGGGCGGUCUCCUCCUAAAGAGUAACGGAGGAGCACGAAGGUUG
rnacentral:rRNA from 2 species